CAACAUCUAUAGUACAUCUACCUUGCUAUAAAGAGAAUAUAAUAUAAAUAUAUAUUCCCCAUUUGUUCUCUCUAUUCGGUUGACAUUGAAAUGGAAGAAAUAAGCAACAUCUCUAUUAUAUCAUCCAAAUGUUUCAAGCAGCUUAAAUCAACGAUCAAAUGACAUACUACUAUUGCCUUGGUGAUGACUCCAUGGAAGCCCAUUAUGGCAUAAAGCCAUAAAGAACGCAAUCAUCACCACAAACAAUGUGGGAACAAAGGCAAGAAUGGCAAAAUUCUUUAGCAAAAAAAAGGAAAUAUCAAACAUUGUAAGGGUUAGAAACCCCAAUGUUGUAUACUUGAGGCUUCUGAAGAUUUUAAUAGAGACCCGGCUGCUAAGAUGAAGGAAUGUCAGAACCAGCAUGCUGGCCCCGGCUAUGAAGGUGGCCAGCAUGAAGAAGGUGCAGACCUUGAGAUGGAUUGUAUGGGCCUGUCCUGUUUGAGCUCCGAGAUAUCCAGAGAAAAUGCCAACGAUUCCAGCACCAGCAAUGCCAGUUGAAAAAUAGAAAAUUUUAAGGCGUGCUUCAUUUCUUCUUCUACUUCUAUCUCUCUAUGUCUUUGUUCUCGUCCGUCCUAGAAUUUGGAUAAAGUGGCUCCAAUUUCAAAUUUAUCACAAAAAGUAACAUCGGAU
rnacentral:lncRNA from 1 species